rnacentral:rRNA from 1 species
UUCCGGUUGAUCCUGCCGGACCCCACUGCUAUCGAGAUGGGACUAAGGUAUGCUAGUCGAACGACCAGAACUAUGUCUGGAAGUGGCACACUGCUCAGUAACACGUAGCUAACCUGCCCUUAGGACGUGGAUACCCCCGAAAAAUUGGGGUUAAUCCGCGAUAGGUGUAAUGUCCUGGAAUGGUAUUACGCCUAAAGGUGUAUCAUACAUGUUUGAUAUACGCCUAAGGAUGGGGCUGCGGCCGAUCAGGCUGUUGGUGAGGUAAUGGCUCACCAAACCUUUGACCGGUACGGGCCAUGAGAGUGGUAGCCCGGAGAUGGACACUGAGACAAGGGUCCAGGCCCUAAGGGGCGCAGCAACCGCGAAACCUCCACAAUGCACUCACGUGCGAUGGGGCUAUCUCGAGUGCCACCUGAUGAAGGUGGCUUUUCCUAGGUCUUCAAAGCCUUGGGAAUAAGAGGGGGGCAAGACUGGUGUCAGCCGCCGCGGUAACACCAGCCCCUCGAGUGGCGGGGAUGAUUAUUUGGCCUAAAGCGUCCGUAGCCGGCCGGGUAAGUUUCCCGUUAAAUCCAGCGUCUCAAGCGUUGGACUGCGGGAAAUACUGCCUGGCUAGAGAGUGGGAGAGGUCAGCGGUAUUCUGGGGGUAGGGGCGAAAUCCUUUGAUCCCCGGAGGACCACCAGUGGCGAAGGCUGCUGACUAGAACACGUCUGACGGUCAGGGACGAAAGCUGGGGUAGCGAACCGGAUUAGAUACCCGGGUAGUCCCAGCCGUAAACGAUGCAUGCUAGGUGUUGGGUUGGCCACGAGCCACCCCAGUGCCGCAGGGAAGCCGUUAAGCAUGCCGCCUGGGAAGUACGA